GGGGAUUUAGCUCAGUGGCACAAGCACCUGCCUUGAAAGCAGACGGUCGUGAGUUUAAUCCCCG
rnacentral:tRNA from 1 species